UCUGCUAGGACAGAUAUAGAUGGAGUAGUUCUUAAAACAAGUGAUAUUGAAAAAAAGUAAGUGUUGUGUAUGAUCCUCUAAUGUUUUGUAUUUUCAGCGAUGUACUCACAUAGUGUGUCUUUUGCAGGAGGAAAAAUGGCAAGCGCAAACGGAAGAGCUAAAGAUGGUGGGGUCACGGAGGAACAACUGAAAGCGGUAGAGUAUGAACUACUGAGAAGCAAGACCAUUGAACAGAAUGAUAAACGGCUAGCAGCGGUACGAGCAGCAAGAGCUUCUAUGCAGGAAGAUAUGGAAGCGAACCAAGCC
rnacentral:lncRNA from 1 species